AAUGAUCCUCUCACCCAUAUCCUCCCAAAGUGCUGGGAAUACAGGUGUGAGCCACUGUGCCCAGCCUCAAAUCAACUUUACAAAGACUAGCUGGAUGAUAUGCUCUAGUCUCUAGUGCUAUUCUGCUUUAUAUUAUUAUUUAAAUGUUUGUUUAUUUGAAUCAUUUUAUUUAAAAAGAAGAUAUUUUUCCUAAAGUUACCUAGUUACGGCACUCUCUCCUAACAUUCACCUGAACAGCCAAUGUAUUUCCCUAUUAAGCAUAUUCACUUCUUAAUAACUGUUCUGUACUUGAAAUGAACAGCUUUUCUGGUCAUGGUUAAUUAGGGCAGCAUUUUACUCUUGCAAUGACUUUAAUUAUCUGAUUGAAUUUUAAUACUGAAAGCACAAGAGGAAAUGUUUGCUCUGAGUCACAAAAAUAAUGUUUCUUCCUUUUCCUUGGAAGUGAAAAUUCAGAGAAUCACCCUGGACCCAAGUGACAGCCUUUUUGCUACUAUCGACUUUGCCCGAUGACUAGACACAAGGGCAAACCACAAUGUCACAAGGUCACGGCCACACUCAGGUUCCAAAAUGACAGAAACUAACUCCACGUCCGUUUCUCGAAGACGGAGACUGACACUGCACUGCAGAUCCGAGCGGAUCCUACGUGGACGCCAAAGGCACCUACGCUGCUCAAAUCCAGGAUGCACAGCGAAUCUAGUCCCUCACUGCCACCUUAUCUCCCAGGAGAGGGUGUUUCCAUCCUUAUCAUCCUCAUUACCUCCUUCUUCCUUUUUUUAUUUUUUUUUUAAGUCAGCUGCUUACAUUGACAGAAGGGAGAGCUUAUCUCCAAGAGGUCUACAGACACUUUCCUAGUAAAGGCUUGGAAGAAUUAUCUUUCCUGAUUUCCUCAGAAUUAAGGAGGGAACCUGGAAUUAUCAACCAGGCCUCGAGGGAUACCGUAAGUGACAUUCAGACGGGAUAUGGUGGCUGAAUCAGAGGAUGCUUGCUGCCGGCCAGCCUGCGACCUUGGCCCUGCCCCUCCGCCUUCCUUUCUUUAUCUGGGAGACCCUUAGGGGGCUGUCAUGAGAUCCAACGAGAUGGCAUCUAGUGCCUGCAGGCCCACUUGAAACACUUCACAUGUGUGAACUUAUUUGGACCCCAGAAGAAUCCCGUGAGGAGGAGGGUGCUGCUAUUAUUCCCAUUUUGCAGGCUCUCAAGGAACGUCUCUUCCAGGAAAUCCAGCUCCUCCAAGGGCACCUGGAGCAGGGAGUUCAUGUGGCAAAUGAGGACUCUG